UUCUACUCGCACAGUUCAUAGGCCUUCUAGUUCCACGUCGUAGACACCAGCUUUACGACACACCCCGACUCCGAGACAAGACUGGCCGAAGGGCGACACUUUCACAUCACAAGGGGUCUGUGGCUGAAGGCGACAUGGCAAAGGGAGGAGAGGAGGAACGUCCUGCGCAAGUGGCAUGCCCCCUACCACCGAAUGGUACGAACGGUCUGGAGUUGAUACGGCACGGGAUCUGCUGUCCAUUCGGCAGGACCAGCUGGCUGUCCAGCGAGAACUGCUGGCCACACAGCAGGGUCUGCUGGCCACCCAGCAGCAGCAGCUGGCAGUUCAGCAGGAAAUGCUGCUCGUGCAGAGAGAGGCAGUCGAUGCACUCCGUCGACUUGCAAGCGCUGUAGAGGGACAAGCAGCAGCAAGUGCGCACCAGUCGUCCGCACUGACUUCGCUAGUG
rnacentral:lncRNA from 1 species